rnacentral:lncRNA from 1 species
AUAAUCGAUUAUUUUCAAAGAAUAAUCGAUUAUGUGAUGCUUCUGUUUUGCAAAAUUUUGGUGAACUUUAAAAAUUAUUCCAGGACCUUUUGCGGCGACGAACGUAGCCACUAAACCCAUAAAAGUCGCCGCUAAAUGUAUUAGUCGCGACUAUGUAUUGAAACUGAAAACUGGAGUUGCCGUCACUGAAGGUUAUUUGUAGCAACAAUUCCUUGUUUAAGUUUCUUGUUGUUCAACAACCAAAAAUUUUGCAAACUUCAAUAUUUCAAUUCAUAUAGAGAUAACAAGAUAUUGAAACACCAAAGUUCAUCAACAACAUAACAUUCAUGAAAUCAUUUUGGUGAACUUUAAAAAUUAUUCCAGGACCUUUUGCGGCGACGAAUGUCGCCACUAAACCCAUAGAAGCCGCCGCUAAAUGUAUUAGUGGCGACUAUGUAUUGAAACUGAAAACUGGAGUUGCCGUCACUGAAGGUUAUUUGUAGCAACAAUUCCUUGUUUAAGUUUCUUGUUGUUCAACAACCAAAAUU